CCUAACGGGUGGCAGCAGUGGGGAAUAUUGGACAAUGGGCGAAAGCCUGAUCCAGCCAUGCCGCGUGUGUGAAGAAGGCCUUCGGGUUGUAAAGCACUUUCAGUGGGGAAGAAAGCCUUGGGGCUAAUACCCUCGAGGAAGGACAUCACCCACAGAAGAAGCACCGGCUAACUCCGUGCCAGCAGCCGCGGUAAUACGGAGGGUGCGAGCGUUAAUCGGAAUUACUGGGCGUAAAGCGCGCGUAGGCGGUCUGAUAAGCCGGUUGUGAAAGCCCCGGGCUCAACCUGGGAACGGCAUCCGGAACUGUCAGGCUAGAGUGCAGGAGAGGAAGGUAGAAUUCCCGGUGUAGCGGUGAAAUGCGUAGAGAUCGGGAGGAAUACCAGUGGCGAAGGCGGCCUUCUGGACUGACACUGACGCUGAGGUGCGAAAGCGUGGGUAGCAAACAGGAUUAGAUACCCUGGUAGUC
rnacentral:rRNA from 1 species